rnacentral:lncRNA from 1 species
CCGCGGCGCCCAGCCCGAGGCCUGGCGCAGAGCAGCGGGAGGCGGCGCAGGCCGCGGCGGGGCCUGCAGCAGCCCGCCGACCCCGCGAGGCGCCGAAGCAGACUCCGGGGCGGCCUAGCCUCAGGCUCGGCAGCUGGGCACGACCGGGGGCUGCCCCUCGGCCUCUUACCUGGGGGGAAGACAGCCGGGAUCCCGGGGGCCCGGGCCGGACCGCGGAGAUGCCCCAAACUGACACGGCCGCCAUCUUGGAGACAAAGUAUUUAAGAAACAACAAGUGAGAGGUGAUCAGUUCCUGGGGUUAUCCAGCACUUCCAAGUCCCCAUGAAUGUGCUCCCGACAGCGUGAGAAAGUUGACGGCCUUGGGUCUCCUAGUCCAACAGUAAUUGGACAUUCCACUACCUGAGGACCCAGCUAUACCUGUCU